AGUGGGGAAUAUUGCACAAUGGGCGCAAGCCUGAUGCAGCCAUGCCGCGUGUAUGAAGAAGGCCUUAGGGUUGUAAAGUACUUUCAGCGGGGAGGAAGGUGAUAAGGUUAAUACCCUUAUCAAUUGACGUUACCCGCAGAAGAAGCACCGGCUAACUCCGUGCCAGCAGCCGCGGUAAUGCGGAGGGUGCAAGCGUUAAUCGGAAUUACUGGGCGUAAAGCGCACGCAGGCGGUCAAUUAAGUCAGAUGUGAAAGCCCCGAGCUUAACUUGGGAAUUGCAUCUGAAACUGGUUGGCUAGAGUCUUGUAGAGGGGGGUAGAAUUCCAUGUGUAGCGGUGAAAUGCGUAGAGAUGUGGAGGAAUACCGGUGGCGAAGGCGGCCCCCUGGACAAAGACUGACGCUCAGGUGCGAAAGCGUGGGGAGCAAACAGGAUUAGAUACCCUGGUAGUCCACGCUGUAAACGAUGUCGAUUUAGAGGUUGUGGUCUUGAACCGUGGCUUC
rnacentral:rRNA from 1 species